GUCUUUUUGAAUUAAAUUUAAAGUCUAACCUGCCCACUGAAAUUUUUAAAUGGCCGCAGUAUUCUAACUGUGCAAAGGUAGCAUAAUCAUUAGUCUUUUAAUUGAAGGCUGGAAUGAAUGGUUGGACGAAAUAUUAACUGUUUCAUUUAAAUUUUUUAUAGAAUUUUAUUUUUUAGUCAAAAAGCUAAAAUUUAUUUAAAAGACGAGAAGACCCUAUAAAUCUUUAUAUUUUGUUUAUUUUAAUUAUAAAGAUUAUUUUUAUUAUAAUAAAUUAAAAUAUUUUAUUGGGGUGAUAUUAAAAUUUAAAAAACUUUUAAUUUUUAAAUACAUUAAUAUAUGAAUAAUUGAUCCAUUAAUAAUGAUUAAAAAUUUAAGUUACUUUAGGGAUAACAGCGUAAUUUUUUUGGAGAGUUCAUAUCGAUAAAAAAGAUUGCGACCUCGAUGUUGGAUUAAGAUAUAAUUUUGGGUGUAGCCGUUCAAAUUUUAAGUCUGUUCGACUUUUAAAUUCUU
rnacentral:rRNA from 1 species